UCCUCUAAAAAUCAGAAGACUCACAGAGAGAAUCUCCGAGAUGCUCUGGAAGAACAAUGGCCAAGCAAAAUUCUCCCGGAGGACAGAGUCUGUGGCAGUCUUUCUGGGUGACCAGGAACUUUUCAAAUGUAGAGGAGCCUUUAGAAGGAAGCCUUGAGCAUGAGGACAGACCCCCCUCAUCCAACCACCACCUGACUCUGUGUGAACCUGGAACUGUUAGAAUGUCUGUGCUGUGAUAAAAGGUCAUCUCCCUACAAUGUUAUGAUACAGACCUCAAACCUACAAACAUGAGGAACUUCUGCCUCCAGGUUAACUGCUUACCCACUGUACAAGACACGUUACACACAGUCCAGGAGGCGGAGCUUCUGAGAUAUCUAGAAACAGCUUAGAGGCAAAAUGACAAAAUAAAGCAGCAACAACAAAUAAAACCAAUCUUCUCGAACUGGC
rnacentral:lncRNA from 1 species